rnacentral:rRNA from 1 species
UGCAAGUCGAGCGGUAGAGAGAAGCUUGCUUUUCUUGAGAGCGGCGGACGGGUGAGUAAUGCCUAGGAAUCUGCCUGGUAGUGGGGGAUAACGUUCGGAAACGGACGCUAAUACCGCAUACGUCCUACGGGAGAAAGCAGGGGCUCUUCGGACCUUGCGCUAUCGGAUGAGCCUAUGUCGGAUUAGCUGGUUGGUGAGGUAAUGGCUCACCAAGGCGACGAUCCGUAGCUGGUCUGAGAGGAUGAUCAGCCACAUCGGGACUGAGACACGGCCCGAACUCCUACGGGAGGCAGCAGUGGGGAAUAUUGGACAAUGGGCGCAAGCCUGAUCCAGCCAUGCCGCGUGUGUGAAGAAGGCCCUCGGGUUGUAAAGCACUUUCAGUGGGGAAGAACGCCUUCCGGCUAAUACCCGGGAGGAAAGACAUCACCCACAGAAGAAGCACCGGCUAACUCCGUGCCAGCAGCCGCGGUAAU